rnacentral:lncRNA from 1 species
GUGAGGUCCCAUUACAUAUAUGUGUACUGUCAUAAAGAGGCCAGCUCUGUCCCUUGCUGGAUCUUUAAAAGGCCAGGGCUGAGCUUCCCUUGGCUCAUUUGUCAGAGAUCCAGCUGGCUUCAAUUCUUCUACUACAUCUCUACUUGGACUAUAUGCAAACUCCUGGUGGUCUUCUUUGUCCAGUUCAGGACUGACUGGAGGAUCUUAUUAGUGUUUCUUUUAAGUUAUACUGAUAAAUCAUUAUUAUAUGUGGUGUUAUUUUAAGUAAUUGUCAGGUGAUUUGUUAGGGGAGGGGUCAUUGAGGACAAUUUAUUUCACCAUUUUAACUGGAAGUGAUCUGUUAAGAUUUCUAGGAGAAUUAGUUUCAGCCAGCCUCAACAAAGCCAAGGACCAGCGAAGUUUCUCAAGAGGGCAAGUCUUUCCUGAGACCGGUCUCUUCAGAGAAAAGCCAGCAGUUAAGAGUCACACUUUUUCACUUACACAUGUCAGUCCAAUCAGCAGAUACUUCUGCCCCUCUUCAGCUUCAACUUCAACUCAAAAGCAUGAAGAAUUCAAUUGUCACAGUUCAUUCAACCUCUAAUUCUCAAUGGUUGCAGAGAUAUCUUCUGAACUAUAAAUCAGACUAACAGAGACCAUACCUGGAAUGAAGUAAACCACUGGAUACUGCACUCACUGGAGCCAUGCAACUUUAUCUUUACCCCAACUGCCACUCUAGUGGAUCCCAACUCCACCUUCCACAGCUUCCCUAGAGAACAAUAUUCAAAACAGACUUUACUUACCAUCUUGGUGACCUAUAAGAUUAUCAUUUCCACUGUGAGUGGAAAUGCUGUGAGUUUCAUUAUUAAAAACUGAACUUACUAACUACUCUGGAAACCAAAAUGAUGGAGUAGAAGCAAGUGAAAGCAACCUGCUCUGAGAAUUCUCUCCAACCAAGCUUAAAAUAACAUAUGAAAAUAAAUACUAGAGUGAGAGAAUGAGCA